rnacentral:snoRNA from 1 species
UGCCAGUGUUCGAAAAGUGAAGAAAGUCUUGCUGUUGUUCUGGUGUUCAGUAGGAUGGAAAAGAAAACAUCACUGCACUUCCUGUCUGUCUUUGUGGCAGUCAAGAUUGAAUUGGGGACUACGCCU